GUACUCCUUAGGCAGCACAUAUACCCCAACUGGAACAAUACAGAGCAGAUUAGCAUAGCCCCUGCACAAGGAUGACACACAAAUUCAUGAAGCAUUCCAUGUUUUU